AAAAACCAAAAACAACAAAACCCACAUAAAUUCAAUGCUGAGUUUAAAAUUGGAAUUCAGCAAAAUGUCAUCCCAGGCACUUACUUAAAUGCACGCUUUUAUCUUUUUGUACAAUAAAUUUCUUUCCGAGUUUCAUUAGCCAUUAUACUACUCAUGGUGAUUGUGUUAGAUGUUAGAUGCUAAGAGAUGGGUGCCAACAUUUCAUUUCAGGUGGCUCCUCUUCCAAGUCAUCAUCACAGUUAAUUAGAGACAGAGGAGGGAUGGGAGCCGAAUCGACACUGGGAAGGUGAGGAAAGGGAAUCACAGAGGCUGAAGACUUGUCCAAGGACACAGCUUGUAAAUGUUGGAGUUGAAUUUGAAUUCAGGUAAUUGAGCUCCAAAUUCCAUGCUCUCAGUAGGUCACCUCUCAAAAGAAGAAUUUCCUUCAAACAUCUUGCAGUAGUAAUUAUUUUUAUUUAUUUGUUUGCUUUAUAUAAUUCUACAAGCUGAGGGUCAGUUUACAGAACAAGUGGAACUGCCUUAUUCAAGGUAAUUACUAGUUGUUUGCAAAUGCUUUAAGAAUGAAGCUUUGCUGCUGCUGCUGCUAAGUCGCUUCAGUCGUGUCUGACUCUGUGCGACCCCAUAGACGGCAGCCCCCAGGCUCCCCUGUCCCUGGGAUUCUCCAGGCAAGAACACUGGAGUGGGUUGCCAUUUCCUUCUCCAGUGCAUGAAAGUGAAAAGUGAAAGUGAAGUCGCUCAGUCGUGUCCGACUCUUAGCGACCUCAUGGACUGCAG
rnacentral:lncRNA from 1 species